UUUAAUUUUAAGUGAAAAUAUUUAAUGAAAAUUAUUAACAUUUUGAAGUUUGAAACGUCUUUUUUUCCUAGAUUAACAGCAGUUACUGAUUAAUUAAGGCAUUCAAACAAGAUGGCUCUUGUCCUAAGGGAAGACACUAGGUCAGUGAAUAGCAUUGAAGUGAUUCUAACAAGAGGAUCCAGGAUUGAAUCCCAGCCAUUACAGUUAGAAGAAAGAUUUCUCGUCAGGACUUAACUGAAUACAACAUAACAUUAGAGGACAACAAAGGACAUUUGGGUUCAUAUAUCCACUAAAUUAAACACUUAAACAUUUAUCAAGUUUUGUCUUCAACUUUAUUAAAUUAAUUGUAUCUACUAUAUCUGUACCAACUACUCUUUAAGAAACAUAUAGCCCAGGAUGACUCCUACUUUACCAAAAAUACCAAAGGAACUGGAGAAAAGACCAGAAUGGAUCUAGAUGAUAUAACGGGAAUACUGGCAGCCGUCGAACUCUGACUGUUUGGUUUGUUAAAGGU